CCACCUGAAGGUGUUGAGGUAACUGUGAGUCCUAGCAGUUUGAACUUUUCUGCAGUGAAGGAGAGAAUGACCUAUCAAGUGACGUUUACACGUUCAGCAUCUGGCACUGGCCGCAACACAAACUUUGUGCAAGGAUACCUGAAAUGGUCAUCUGAUACGCACAUUGUUCGAAGUCCCAUUGCAGUUAUUUUGGAGUAGUGAAAGCACCAUCAGGCUUCUUCGGUUUUGAUCAAUAAAUUCUAGAGAUAAUUAUGUAUACCUCUCCUUGAGAUUUGAUGUUAGCUUGUAACAUGUUUUCUUUUUGUUGCAAUAGAUUGAACUAUGCGUUAAAUAAAGCUGUACUUGAAGACAAAUCCAAUUAACUGCAGAAAUAAAAUAUAAUCUGAAAAGAAUGAAUAGGUC
rnacentral:lncRNA from 1 species